CUACGGAGGGUGCAAGCGUUACUCGGAAUCACUGGGCGUAAAGCGCGCGCAGGCGGUCUUUUAAGUUGGAUGUGAAAGCCUACGGCUCAACCGUAGAACUGCAUCCAAAACUAUUAGACUAGAGUGUGGGAGAGGAAGAUGGAAUUAGUUGUGUAGGGGUAAAAUCCGUAGAGAUAACUAGGAAUACCAAAAGCGAAGGCAAUCUUCUGGAACACUACUGACGCUGAGGCGCGAAGGCGUGGGGAGCAAACAGGAUUAGAAACCCGAGUAGUCC
rnacentral:rRNA from 1 species